ACUUAAGUAGUUUAUACUAAAAUACAGAUUUGUGGAUUCUGAGAUAAUUUUUAUUCUUAAGUU
rnacentral:tRNA from 1 species